ACUCCUACGGGAGGCAGCAGUAGGGAAUCUUCCACAAUGGGCGAAAGCCUGAUGGAGCAACGCCGCGUGGGUGAAGAAGGUCUUCGGAUCGUAAAACCCUGUUGUUAGAGAAGAAAGUGCGUGAGAGUAACUGUUCACGUUUCGACGGUAUCUAACCAGAAAGCCACGGCUAACUACGUGCUAGCAGCCGCGGUAAUACGUAGGUGGCAAGCGUUAUCCGGAUUUAUUGGGCGUAAAGGGAACGCAGGCGGUCUUUUAAGUCUGAUGUGAAAGCCUUCGGCUUAACCGGAGUAGUGCAUUGGAAACUGGGAGACUUGAGUGCAGAAGAGGAGAGUGGAACUCCAUGUGUAGCGGUGAAAUGCGUAGAUAUAUGGAAGAACACCAGUGGCGAAAGCGGCUCUCUGGUCUGUAACUGACGCUGAGGUUCGAAAGCGUGGGUAGCAAACAGGAUUAGAUACCCCUGGUAGGAUAGCG
rnacentral:rRNA from 1 species